GAGAACGCUUCCUGUGUUGGGACACUGAUUUAAAUCUGUACAGGGUGGAAAGCGAUGCCGGUUACUAACCUGUCUCUUUUCGGCAUGGCCGGCGUUUUUUUCCUCACUUGUGGGCUGUUUAGAAAAGGCUGUAAUGAAAUGAAUUCACGGGAAUUCGGCUGUUUUUACAGUGAGGUAAAACUCCCUAAUGGGUGAGAUGCUUCCACUUGCCUUUUGUCCAUCGUGGCUUGUAAGAUAUGAGUUUGUGAUUAUUUUAUUUCUUAGGAGCUGCGUUUUUGAGGAAUGGAAUGGUAAUAGGGGUCUUUGUUGGCAGCGAUGGUAUAGAAUUGAUUGUAGGGCAUGUUGAGCUCCUCCUUUUAGAGACAGGAGCUAAAUUAAAGACUUGUGGAGCUUUAGCAGCAUAUAGGGAAACAUUUAUAUGCAAUUUUCAUUCUCUUCCUACUCCUUGGAGAAGAAAAUGGCUUAUGUUUCCUGAGCUACCAGCCUAGUGGUAUCUGUGAGGUUUGUGUUUACUGGGAGAAAAGAAGUAGUUUAUUGCGUUUACUGUGUGUCUGUUCCAUGCUUGCUGAUUCCUCUGAAUGUCCCUGCUUGCUCUGUGCUUUGGGGAGAGUAAUAUUUCCGAACAAGCUUGUGCAAGUGGCAGGUGGUAUAAAGACAGAACUGUGUAACUUGAAUUGCAUGGGUGCUCUGGACAUUGUUAUCUUAUACAAUCAUCAACUUCUUUCUGAAAUGUGGGCCUUUAAAUUAUUUUUAAUCAUAACCUCUUCUGGCAAAGUCUGUUUUAUCAACACAUUUUUUUUUUAUAUAUAUUUUCCCCCUGUUUAUAGAAUGCAGUAAAAUAUUUGUUAUGUUAGGAUCAGCUUGUAGUGAGGAUCCACUGAAUUUGUUCCCCUUCACCUUCCCUCGUAUUUGGCUCCCUUGUAUAUAAUAAAUAGUUCAGAAUUUAACAAGAAUAUCAAGUUUCUUCAGUGGUGUAUUGUUAGCAUAUCAUGUGUCAGAUAAUGUUGUUCAAAAAAUUAGCCAAUAAAUAGAAUUCUGAGUUCAUCUCACUGAUGAUCUGAUCAAAACCAGUCCCCCUUCUCUGAACCAAACUACCUUUCUACUUUUUCCUAGAAGAUCCUCUGAAUGUUAUGGUGGCUGCUUUUCUAAGGGGCACAAUAUAAUUUGUUCAGACUUUAAAGAGACAAAAAAAUAUAGGUUGAAGCAACAGUUGCUGGGUUAAAUAAGGUCUCCUAAGGAUAACAUUCUCUAACCUCCAGAGAUGGAAGCUGUUGCAGUGCUAGAGGAGGUACUGGUUUCCAUUGAAAAUGAGCUGCAAGCAGUGGAAAUGCAGAUACAGGAGCUUGUGGAUAAACAGCAGGAACUCCUUCAAAAGAAGAUGAGAGUAAAGAGUCUGAUAAAGCAGUCCUCAGGAGACUUGGAGGCAGGUGGGAGUAAAGACACUGAAACCUCAGCCGAGGCAUGGAACAAAAAAGACUUUCCGUGGUAUGACAAGAUAAAAACUGCACUGCAAAGCAAGUUUAAACUCCAGAAGUUUAGGUCCUUGCAACUUGAAACAGUAAAUGCUGCAAUGGCAGGAAAGGAUAUAUUUCUUGUCAUGCCAACAGGUGGUGGGAAGAGCCUUUGCUAUCAGUUACCGGCUGUCUGUUCUGAUGGUUUCACACUUGUGAUAUGUCCUUUGAUAUCACUUAUGGAAGAUCAGCUCAUGGUUUUGGAACAGCUUGGUGUUUCUGCAACUUUAUUAAAUGCUUCAAGCAGUAAGGAACAUGUGAAGUGGGUUCAUACCGAAAUGCUAAACAGAAAUUCGCAACUGAAGCUCAUUUAUGUGACCCCGGAGAAGAUUGCAAAAAGCAAAAUGUUCAUGUCAAAGCUAGAGAAAGCUUAUCAAGCAGGGUGUCUUGCUCGCAUUGCUGUAGAUGAGGUCCAUUGCUGUAGUCAAUGGGGCCACGACUUCAGGCCUGACUACAAGUCUCUUGGUAUCUUGAAAAGGCAGUUUCCCAAUGCUCCCUUGAUUGGAUUGACAGCAACUGCUACAAAUCAUGUUUUAAAGGAUGCUCAGAAAAUUCUGCACGUUCAGAAGUGCAUUACCUUUACUGCUUCUUUCAAUCGGCCCAAUCUUUACUAUGAGGUUCGCCAUAAACCUUCAAAUAAUGAAGAUUUCAUUGAGGAUAUAGUUAAGAUGAUUAAUGGAAGAUACAAAGGACUCUCAGGAAUCGUUUACUGUUUUUCUCAGAAGGAUUCUGAGCAAGUUACUGUGAGUUUGCAGAAACUGGGAAUCAAGGCGGGGACUUACCAUGCAAACAUGGAUGCUAAAUAUAAGACCAAAGUUCAUAAAGGAUGGGCAGCGAAUCAAAUCCAGGUUGUAGUGGCGACUGUUGCUUUUGGCAUGGGAAUUGAUAAACCUGACGUGAGGUUUGUAAUUCAUCAUUCUAUGAGCAAAUCCAUGGAGAACUACUACCAAGAGAGUGGACGUGCAGGUAGAGAUGACCAAAAAGCCGACUGCAUUUUGUAUUAUGGUUUUGGAGAUAUAUUCAGAAUCAGCUCAAUGGUAGUGAUGGAAAAUGUAGGGCAAGAGAAGCUGUAUGACAUGGUGUCUUACUGCCAGAAUAUGAAUACGUGCCGCCGGGUCCUCAUAGCCCAUCAUUUUGAUGAAGUAUGGGAUUCUGCAAACUGCAACAGAAUGUGUGAUAACUGUUGUAGAGAGAACUCAUCUGAGAAAAUUGAUAUAACAGGAUACUGCAGGGAUCUAAUCAGGAUACUUGAGCAAGCUGAAAACAUGAGUGAGAAGCUCACCCCGCUGAAAUUAAUUGAUGCGUGGUCUGGGAAAGGUGCAUCAAAAUUCAGGGUGGCUGAAGUUACUCCGCCAAAGCACCCUCGAGAGGAACUGGAGAGAAUUAUUGCCCAUUUACUGCUGCAGCAGUAUCUGAAGGAGGACUUCAGCUUCACAGCGUUUGCUACAAUAUCCUACCUGAAGAUAGGACCAAAAGCAAGCCUGCUGAAAAAUGAGGCACACGUCAUCACUAUACAAGGGAUAACAAACAAAAAAAGUGUUUAUAAGGACAAACCAUCUCAAUCUUCGAAUUCGAAAGCAAGCAGAGGAAACAUUCAGACUAUUUCAAAGACUGUCCAAGAUUCAGCGGUGAAGAAUUCACAGGAACAUAAACGGCCUAACUGUGGUUCUAACUUAAAAGCAAAGAAGCUUAAGCUUCAGGCAGGUGGAGAUGACCAACCAGUAGUGCUUGACUGAGUUUCAUGGACUACAUUUAGGAUCUAAUCGUGUUUGCUUCUCCACGGACAAUGCAGUGUGGAAGGGCGUCUAGAUGAGAUCAUCAGCACCCUGACCAGCUGUGUCUUGAAAAACCUCCCAGGAUGAGGACACCACCACUGCCCUGCAGAGGUUGUACCAGUGAUUGUUCUCGCUGUAUUGACAUUCAUUCGUAUUUGUUCUUGAAAUGAACCUGAAGGAGUGCUUGAAGAUCUCCAAACAGCUGCUGGUUUUCAGUACAGGCAAGUGUCACGGUAUGGUGAAAGCUUCGGUUCUUUUGCAAGGGAGGGCUUGGCAUAAGUUUCCAUAAGUUCCUACUUCUCCCAGUCAUGAAGUACUUACGGUUAUACAAUCAAUAUCCUCUGAAAUUGAUUAUUUAACGUGGGCCAACAUUGCUUUAUCUGCUCAGUCCUACUUCCUGCAUUGUGUAACUGAGCGAGGGCCACACGGUCUUUUUCUUUCUGCCCCUGACCCAGCCUGUAACGCAGGGCCCCAGGCCCUGCUGGCUGAACUGCAGCCGCUUGACACUGAGGGUCACAGUCUUUCCUCGACAACCUCUGUGGACUGAAAAAAAUCUUCAGCUAGAAUUUUUCUGCCUCUGAUUUCAGCAAAGAGAAUAUUUAACUAUUUAUAUAGACUCCUAUAUAUUUCUAUAGUUAAAUAAAAUAUAUACCUGUUGACUUCCUUUGCACAUCAGUGUUUCCAGAAACAAGUAACAGUGCUGCCAGUGGUAAAGACCCAAGAGUGACCACUGACUUUAGGCAUUGCUUAGGCACACAUGAGGCUGAAUAAUACUGGAGUAGAGGGUUGGUUUUGUUGUUUUUGGUUUUUUUUUUUUUUAAAAAGACCUUGGCAACUAGUGAUCAGUAAGGCAAGUUCAAACUCAUUAUGAAUAUAAGUUCUGGUAGGUUUCAUUUUGGUUGCCAUCUCCCCAUACCUGCCCCAGAGUCAGAUGUACUAUCAACUUAAAUACAAACCAAGCAUGAUUAAUAAUGUGCUCUUCAUCUUUAUUUUUCUGGUAGAAUCCUGUCAGUGACUAAAGCUGAGUAUUUCACUUAUCAUUUAACUGAAACUUUUGCCAGAAGUGGAAAUAAUUAAUUUAAUUGAACAGUUAUUCUCUUAAAAUAAUCAGUGAUUUUCUGGGAGAAGUUGCAACAUAUAGCGCCAACUUUGCACUUAGUGGAGUCCAACAAACUGGGAACAAAGAGCAGCAACUGUAGAACAAAACCAAAAGCCAGUAUAAGACAACCUGUGUCUGUGGACAGCACUACUGAACACAGAGAGGGCAUUAAGAAUAGCUUAAAGCUCAACAAUUUAUCAGCUAGCAACUAAAACUGAAGGAACUCCCCUUCAAAAUGGCACCCGGGACCAGCAACCACACAGCAGCUGCUCCACAAGGUCUUGCCAGGGAGAGCCCUACAGGCACCGGCCACCAGCGCUGUGAUGUUUGCCUCGCCUUGGCACACACUGCCCAGCUCUGCCCCAACACCUGAACAGCGAAGUGACAAGCAGUAAAACAGCUGUGCUCAGCUGACAUCUCACCCUGGCUUUCAUUGUUCACAGAUUUGUGUUCUGUACUUAACUGAAUAGAAAAUUACUUCUGAAAUAAAUCUAAUUUCAGAAAAAAACCCAAAGCAUCCAUCUUGCCAUGUAUUUGCAGACCACGUUCCAGGUAGCGAGAGCUCCAAGUGCCCUGUGCCCUGGAGAUGUCCCCUGUUAAUCUGAGCCAGCUUGACAGAGAUGUUACAGUGAACUGGACAGGAGUCUCGAAACCUGUGCCAAGUACUCGCAGGUCAGAGCAGCGGAGGGGGGGUAGCGGGCUGGUAACGCACUGCGUGGCUCCCUGGUGGGAACACGCACCUCAGCAAGUGGGACCUUCCCACUGGCCCAGGGCCAGAGGUGGCUUUAGGCAGGUGUGGCAGCAGCAUAGCAGCAAGGUGUCCCGGCUCUGUGCUUGAGAUGAGAAACAUGGAUGGCAGCAAGCCCCGGGGAAAUGGGGCCCUGGUAACCAUGGCAGGUGAACCAUGUGUGGAGGGAGCUACAAGGCAGGUAUGCACUUUAACACAUUUACUUAUAAAAAGCGAACCUACCUCACAUUCAAGUGAGUGCAGGGCUAUCUUAACAGAACAGGGAAGCCCACAUUUUAAGACUGUUAUCGCCCUGUUCUCAUAUGCUCAUCUAAUCUAGAUGAAAACUCUUCGCCAACACUAAUCCACUUGCUUUUGUUGCUGCAUUUCUACACAGAUUAAUUUAAUUUGCUGGUCAGUAUUUUGGCAAGAUCAACACAAAAAUCUUAAUACAGAAUUGCAUUUAUCCCUCGUUGCUGGUAAUCCUGAGGAAACAGUUUUAAGACACAUUACUCUGUCAAAACUUUAUACAAAAUGGAAAUGGGGCUCUGUUCAAUCAAAAUAAUCUUCUAUAUCAAUAUCUGGAUUCAGGAGAUCUUCACCGUAGGCUGAAAGAUCCAUUUGAUUUAAAAUUAAGUUUUCAAAGGUCUCUUCCAAGUCUGUUUCACCGAUCAGCACAGCUCCCAUCAUGCGGCCAUUCUGCAUCACAACUUUAACAUACUCUUGUCCCUUGGUACAUCUCAGCAUCAGUUCGUGGUCCACACCCAAGCCUUGAGCAUUGUAUUUUCCCAAAACCACCACCUAACAGGAGGAAAAGAAAAAGCACUCGUAAGAUCAUCGCAGUGGCUUUUCGUAUUUCUGCUGAGAGCAGUUAAGCUUCAAAAGACUGAUGUAAACAGGUAAAUAUUUGUCCCUAGGGAACCUCCCCCCUUCGCAAGCUUUCAAAUCCAAAACAGAAUUAAAGAUCUUCGCCUUCAAAUACCAUACACAAAACCCAAUAUUGAACCAUUUACUGUGCUGAAUUUAUCCACAAACAGAAAUCUAAUGAAAUGGAAUAUAUCCAGAGAUGCAAAGUAGGUCAGUAGUCAUUCACCAAUUAAAAUCUACAUCUGCAACGCUCUUUGCCCUCUUCAGUUUCAGCACUCGAAGCUAGUGUGAACAGAGAAAGUCAAAUUAUUAUAUACAGGAAACAGUUUUGUCAGUACUAAAGUAUCUGCUCAGUGCUGGCAAGUGAAUAAGCAAGCAACGUGUGUUACUCAGUGGUUUAAGGCUAUUAGACUAGAUUUACUUUACCUUGUAAUUGAAAAAUUUUGUAACGUGGGCAAAUAGUUCAAAGCUGAAAUCCAUGUCAAUAGAUUCCCCUAAAGUAUCUGCUGCCAUGCACUUUGCUGCAUACCAUCCCAUCUGCCUCGCUUGAGUCCACAGUCUCAUCUAAAACAAAAAAUAUAUUUAAAAACACAGAACCAUGUCCCCGAGCAACAAGCGACCCUCGCUGUUCUCAUUAAUGCAUACUACGUAUUUUCGUUAUGCUCGGAAAGGCUGAACAGCUUGGCUUUCAGCCACACAGAGAAAAUUAUCUGUCAUCAGCACACCCAGGAUUAUCUGCUUGUUCACUGGCUUCCGCUUCAAUUAAACUUUCUUUUCCCCCAUCUGCGAAUUACCGUGUAAUUUACUUUGUGGAUUCGCCUGCUGCUGAGCGCACAACUGCAUGAUCUCAUUUACCUGAUGCCACACUGGACUAGGUUCCCACGAGGCCGUGCAGAUAUCUCCAGCUGCAUAUACAUCUGGCAGGGAGGUGUGCAUUUGUUUAUCUACUUUAAGACCUCCGUCUUCACCUAGAGCAAACUAAUGUAUUUGCACAGAUCAGCAGUAAGAAAAAUAAUCAUUUAAACUAAGUAAUUUGACUUCACCCAUGUUAAGCAGUUGUCUGAUUUGUUACUUUUUAAUGGUAGACUCCUAAAAAACACUUUGGUAGAAUCACUGUUCUGCUUAAUCAGAACAUUUGAAGAUACAAAAUUGUAUGAAUAAACACUACAGCAACCCAGCAAGAUGCUCUUCUGGGUGCCACGUGGCAACAGAAAAAAAGGUUGUUCAGGGUAAACAAUUUAUGGUGAUUCCUUCUCCCACCUAAUCUGACUCAAUUAGAGAAGACUGAUAACCACAAGAGAAACACGGUGUUCAAACCUCACGAUCUUAAGGCUCCUUCAUCUUCAAGGGAAGAAAACAGAUCCCCCAAAGAGUGCCAUGGUGAAGUAUUUUUCACAGCCGUCACAUAUAAAAGUAUUACUUCCUCAUAGUAUGAUGCAACCCUGCCCCCCGCAGAACUGAUCCUGAAUCUUAUCAGACCUAGAACCCUUCAAAUAAGCAAAGACAAAAUUAGCCUCCAGAAGUAGAAUUUCCUAGCAAUUUCUGCGUUCUUUUCUCACCAGGUUUAAGAGCAGAGCAGUGUAGUAUUUUACAAGUGACCUUCACAUACCCUUUAAAACACCUCAAACUACAUAUUAAAAAAAGCUUAGAAUAGCAUCAUGUACUGCAUAAAAUUAUUUAACAUGAGACUAUCCAGAGUGGCAAGACCUCCCUGGUAUGAUACAAAGCAUUAAGCAUUAUUUCUAGAACACAGCAUAGGUUUUUAAAAUAUUAUUAACAGAUACCCAGGCAGGGAAGUAACAAAGCUCGCCACAUUUCAAGUCACACUACGUUUGUUACAGGGACACCAAGUCUAGUACAGGGACACCGAGUACAAUAUGAACAAGAGUUCAUUUUGUAUUUUUGCAAAGGCCAGAAAACACCACUGCAAACACCUAAUUCCUCAUCUAACUUUGUAAUGUCGGCCUUGAAAUAUUUCAUGGCUCAACAGCAGAUGUACGUUUUCAUAAUUUUCUUCUGCUUUAUCCAGAGGAUAGCAUUUUACUUCCUAAUCAGAAGGAACUGAAAAAUGCUGGAUACCCUAAAUCCUGCUUUUGGCUGGGGUAGAGUUAAUUUUCCUCGCAGUAGCUUGUAUGGGCCUGUGCUUUGGAUUUCUGACGAAAAUCAUGUGGAUAAUGCAGGGAUGAUUUAGUUGCUGCUGAGCAGCGCUUACACAGCAUCAAGGUCUGUCUUAUUUCUCACGCUGCCCUGCCAGCGGAAAGGCUGGGGGCGCACAUGGAGCUGGGAAGGGACCCAGCUGGGGCAGCUGACCCCGACUGACCAAAGGGACACCCCAGCCGUGCAGUGUCGUGCUCUGGAGCGGGAAGAGGAAGGGGGGACGUUCAUAAUUAUGGCGCUUGUCUUCCCAAGUAACUGUUACACGUGAUAAGCCCACCCUCCUGCAGAUGGCUGAACACCUGCCUGCCGAUGGGAAGCACUGAAUUAAUUCCUUGUUUUGCUUUGCUUGUGCACGCGACUUUUGCUUUGCUUAAAUUGUUUUUAUCUCAACCCACGAAUUUGCUCAGUUUUACCCUUCCGACUUUCUCCCUUGUCCCACUGGGGGAGUGGGGGAGUGGCCAGGUGGUGAUGAGCUGCCGGCCAGGGUUAAAUCAGACACCUAACAUGGAGGUGGAAUGAGCUGAAAAUUCACCUGGCAGCUACAAACUCUGUAAUCAUCAUCCACAUUCGGAUGAUUUGAAGCGUGACUUCCCUCGAUGAAUGUGAGCACCUCCAUAGCUCAGUUUCCUGGAUGACACUUAUUGGAAAUAACUGCUUCCAUCCCAGGAGAAAAUGUUAAGAUUUGUAAGAUAAGAACAUGGUGCAAAAUUAACACAAAAAUUAUUCUUAGCUUUUGCCAUUUUAACCAAUUAUACAAAUGUUUUUCUCUCUUUGUAUAGGCUUAAUCGUUACAGUGUAUAUUGUAUAUAUACUCUCUAUCAGUACAUGUCUUGACUUGCAAUAUAAUAGGCUGAGAACAGUAAUAAAAUUAAGUUUUAUGAUGUUGGGUAUUUCCAAUAUCAGCAUACCCACCAUAUUUUGAAACGCUGUACAACAUUCAAAACCUGUACCGAUGUUUCACGUCAGAAGCAUAAACAAGCUGCAAGAGCUUAUUUCACUUUACUUUAAAAAAAAAAAACCAGUUUAAACUUCAAAAGAAAACCAGUAUACUUACAUUAUUGCCAUCAAGAAAUGGUUUAACAUUUGGCACAACUCCAGUUGCACUAACAAUGAAAUUGCAUCCAUAAAUUUUUCCAUUAGUUAAUUCCACAUAUACAGGCCAUAGCACUGAAAAAGGGGAGAAUUUUGCCCUGAGAAUGUAACCAACAUCAGUUAUUUUAUUAAUGAUGUCUUCUUAUAAGACAUGAAAUAAAAGAAAAAAUAUUUUGAGAUAUCUAAUUGAUUAGGUAGGGGGGAAAAAAUAAAAUAAAGAAAA